rnacentral:rRNA from 1 species
CGAAAGCCUGACGGAGCAACGCCGCGUGAGGGAUGAAGGCCUCUGGGCUGUAAACCUCUUUUAUCAAGGAAGAAGAUCUGACGGUACUUGAUGAAUAAGCCACGGCUAAUUCCGUGCCAGCAGCCGCGGUAAUACGGGAGUGGCAAGCGUUAUCCGGAAUUAUUGGGCGUAAAGCGUCCGCAGGCGGCCCUUCAAGUCUGCUGUUAAAAAGUGGAGCUUAACUCCAUCAUGGCAGUGGAAACUGUUGGGCUUGAGUGUGGUAGGGGCAGAGGGAAUUCCCGGUGUAGCGGUGAAAUGCGUAGAUAUCGGGAAGAACACCAGUGGCGAAGGCGCUCUGCUGGGCCAUCACUGACGCUCAUGGACGAAAGCCAGGGGAGCG